rnacentral:tRNA from 1 species
GGUUCCAUGGCUCAGCUGGAUAGAGCAACCGCCUUCUAAGCUGUAGGUCAAAGGUUCGAAUCCUUUCGGAAUCA